AUUUAUUAUCUAGUGAAAAGUUUGGUCCAGAUAUAAGUAUAAGUUACUGAUCACGUGCAUCGUGUUUCUCCAACCCUAAGAAAGUGAGAGAUUUUGCUCCAACCUAAACGUGCGUGAAAUUAAUAUCUCUUAAUUAAUUACCUCUCCAAUUUGUGUUGAUUGCAACAACUUUUUGGGACCACGUUCAAGGAUUGUUUGGUUUCAAGUAAAUUUAUCGAUUUUUUUUUUUUUUAGUUUGUUGUAAAACAAAGAGAUUUUGCAUCACAAAUUAUUUUAGUUUUCUGAUGUUAUGUUUUUUCUUUCAUUGUUUGAUUAUAUAAUAAAUUAUUUCAAGUUUUUAGUUAAAUAUAUGUAUUUUCAAUAUAUUUUAUACUGUGCUUUAUGCACAUCUAACGCUAUAUUUAUUGUAUAUAAUAUUAAUAUUUUAUACAUAUAUUUAUAUAUAUAUAAUGCUCGGUCCAAUGGGAAACCAAGUUGCACUUCUUACGUGGUCCACCAGGCCUGGCGUGCAUUUGUGGACCCGCUUGAGUGCUCCAAGCCUUGCACCGCAUUUUUAUUUUUCCCCCCUUCCACUUCAAUUUUCGGACUUUUUAGAGGGAAAAAUGAAAAAGUAAAAUUUUUAAGUAAAAUUGUAAAAUAAUUUUACACAAAAAGCUAUUUACAAGCAUCCAAAUGCUUAAAAAUUUAUUUUUCAAGACUAAAAUAAUUUUCAGCCUGAUUUUAUAAGGAUCUAACCAUUUUCUUAACUUGGCCGAUUUUUAAAUUUAGAAUUUCGAAUAUCAAUCAUCAAGUCUUUUACCAUUUGUGCUAUAUGGGUGAUUGGUUUUUGUGUACAUGCAAUACAAAAAUGAUACUGUUGAGGCUAAUUACUCUAGCUACUAUUAUAUUCAAAAAGAAAAUAUAAAGUCUCUUACAUUAAUACAAUACUGUUGAGUCAACUCAUGUCAUAAUUAAUUUCACCACACCAUUUUGUUUUGGUCAUUAUAAAAUCAGUUUUCAAUCUCCACUCCUGACCACCACAAUUGCUUGCGUUGAUGAAAUUUUACAUGCAAAAUCCAGUAACGAGUAUAUUCAAACAACUUAAUUCACUCAAUGCCAAUCAGAUCCAAACUUUUCAAUCACUUUUCAAGUAUCUUUGUGCUAUUUUGCUUCUUUAGUAGAGGAAUAGGGCUUGAUUUAUAAAAUGUGCACGUUAAAUUGCAUAUUCCACAUGCAAAAUUUCCUCUUCUAUCCGGGCAAUGAUGGAGACAAAACAAAAAUUGGCAACUUUUUGUCUUGCUCUUUGUAAAUUUUUGUAUUGAUCUAUGAUUUACUUUAGAGGCUUAAAGGCUUAAAAAUUCGAUUUAAAGAGUAAAGCUUUUCUCUCGCCCUUUUUUUAUUUUUUUUAUUUUUAUUUUUUCACAUCCAACAAUGCGCAUUCUCAUUUGAUCCAUUAUACAGAAUAUCUGUGUUGUUGGAGUAGAUACAUAAUCAUAUAUAGUAAAGUUGCAGGAGGUCUUAACUUUAAAUUAUAAUUACCAAAUUUUAAUUUCUAAUUAAAUUUCCUUCUAUUUAAUUAAAACUCAUAUAUUUAACCUAGUAAAAAAAAAAUCUCAAAUUCAAACAUGAAAGAAUUAUAUAAAAGACUAAAAUAGCAUUCUCUCAUAUGUGUUGUUGUUGUUGUUGUUGUUUUUUUUUUUUUUUUUUUUUUUUUUUUUUUUUUUUUUUGUGAGAGAGAGAUAGCUAGGUAGCAUGCUACCCAUUUAAUUCGUUUACUUUAUUUAGAAAUAAACUUAGCUGGAAAUGUGAAUCAAUUAGAAUUUGAACUUGAGACCUCGGAUAUCAACCACCAAGCCCUUUGCCACUUGCUCUAGGGACAGUCGGUGCAUUCUCUCAUAUGUUACUUUACAACAGAUGAGGCGGCCUGCACAGUAUAAAGUGCGCGGAAUUUCAACCUCACAUUAAAUAUCACCAUUACAUGCAAUUCAAAAUUCUUCGCAUGAUCGUUAUCAUAGAGAGAAAAGAAGAACUUAAAUCUGUUUACUUAUUAUACUUAUGAGCAAUGCUUCAAUACUCCGUUGUAAUCUUAGCCGUUUAUUUUUAAUCAAUGAAGGGUUAAGAUUUAUGCAUAAAAAAAGGUGACCUGCUAUUGCACAAGAAGUACCGGUCACCAGGUAUGUGAUUUAGGAGUUUUUUUGGAAAAAAAAGAGCUAAUAUAAAAAAUUAAAUAACUAAUAUUGGAAAGUUUUGCAUACUACCCUUAAAUCAUGGAGAUAAUAAAUUUUUAAUUAAAUUAUCCAUUUUUAAAGCGGAUUUUAAUAAAAAUUUAUGAUCGCAUUUGAGCCAUAAAUUUAGUAAUUUAUAAUUUAAAAUUAAUUUUCAAACAUCAAAACUUUAUGUUUAAAUAGUUAACAAAAUUUAUUUUUUAAGUAUAAUAUAAAUUAAAUCGAAAUUUAUAAUUUAAAUUUGAUCAUUAUUUUUGAAAUUUAAUGCUGUUUUUCAAUAUUGAAUUAACAAUUUCAACUUACUUUAAAAUGUAGAAAUCUUUUAUUUUAAAUAAAUAAUAAAUUGACAAUUUGAAUUGAAAUGUUUACUCGUUUAAAUAUAAAUUUUUCUUUCUAAAAUUUAAAUAUUAUAAAUACAAAGUUUAAACUCAAGUUAAAAUUUAAAUUCGAAUUUAUGAAGAUUUAUCACUUAUGAAAUUAGCCAUUAUCUAAGUUGGUAAGUAACAAAAUUAAAUUAGGAAAUGAAGAUUUGUUGGAUAUUAUUAAAUUUGGUAAUUGACUAAUGCAUAGUUUCAAAUAUUAUCUUUAUGAUUGAUUGGUAACCUGUUGAGCAGGUUACCAUUGUGUAAAAGUCAAUCUUAACCUUAAAAUUGAAUGGCCGGAUUUAAAUUGGCCGAUGUAUAGAAGUAUUUCUCAAAAAAAAAAAAAAAAA
rnacentral:lncRNA from 1 species